UCUAGAACUCGUCUCCGAAUCAUUAGUGCAUCAAACUGUUUGUUCUCAUCAUAGCAUUGAUGAUGGUAGACAGGAACUCGUCUUCUCUCCGGCGUCUCUCCUGUCCUGUGUUGGCAUUGUUCAUGCUAUCAAUAAGCUUCAUAGUGGUCUACCAGGUUUGAAUUUAGCUGUAUCCCUUCAUGCACCAGUUCAAGAGUUUUUUGCCAGAUAAUGCCUGCAGCUCAAGCUUUUCCUCUGGAAAAACUUAUGAAUGCACUUCAUGCAUAUCAAAAGAAUAGUCAGCAAAAAAUAUUUAUUGAGUACAUCAUGCUGGAUAAGGUGAAUGAUGAAGAGCCACAUGCUCACCAGCUUGGCAAACUGCCAGAGACAUCUCAAGUGGUGAGCUCUUAAAUUUUAAAGUUGGAGCACGGGGAAUAAUUUUGUUAUUUUGUCCUUGUAACAGCCUUUAUUACAUCCGUGCUAAUCUAUGGAUAAACCCAAGAAAGAGAAGAAGAUUGUAAA